GUGCUGCUGAAGAGUCCCAUACUAGGACGAAACGGCUGUCCAGUAU
rnacentral:hammerhead_ribozyme from 1 species